AUUUCAUCCAGGUCUCUUUUUGCCUACUGGUGAGGCUGUGAAGGCGCUAGAAAAGUGGCUCACUCUGGGGGAAACGAAAUUAGAGCCCAAACGGCCAUUGGAAGGGAAAAGACCAUUUUUCCAUCACUUUCAAUAGCAGCUCAGUACCCAGUGACCCCAGAGAGUGAGGGCAGGCUCCAGGCUGUCCAUCUGCAGCUCCUAGCAAAGCUCCCCUGCUUGCUGCAGUCGGCACCCAGCACAUCCUGGCCUCGGCACACGCUGAAACCCCCGGCAAAACAACCCACGACAUCGACCCGCAAGCCGAUGAACCCGUAUCACCCUGGGUCCCCUCCUGCAGCUCAGGGAGGACCAGGCACUGGGCUAAAUGCUGGUGCAGAAAAGAAAUUUGCCUGCCUUUAAGGCUGAGCCCUGGGAGGUGGCCGGCAACCCCACGGCGAUGCCCUCUGCAAGCCGUAACACAGCCUGUGGACCUGGGGCGAUCUGGCGUCCUGCUCCCGGCAGUGGGGUUCACACACUCUCUGCAGCUUUCCCUUCUAUAUAAAUACAUUAAUAAAAGAUCAGUUUGCAGACGCAGCUUGCUGUAGAUGACAGCAUUAGAGGCGCAUCUGUUUCUGCUAAGCACCAGUCUCGUGCUGGGUUUAUUUGGUCCAUUUGCGGCGGGGAAGAGUUGCUUUCGGCAUUCAGAGAUGUCUCGUGUCUGGGUGAAGAGGGGGGGAGAUAUAUUUUUGGCUCUAUUUAGCCACAAAAAUUUGGUUUUAGAAUAAAGAAAAAUAUUCCUGUUUUCUGUUUGCUGCCAAAACUGAGGCAGACGAUUUCUUGUGCAAGCCUUCAUUUGUUUGAGAACUCGGUGUCCUGUUGGAAAAAUAAAUGUUCUGAUGGGAAAAGUC